AGUUAUAGAUAUGAAUCUACAAGUAUUGGAGUCUGCCUGUUGAGGUUCCAUUGAGUGUAAAUUCAAUCCUGUGGAUCUGGAAAAGAUUAUGGGAUAUAAACAGAUGGAACCAAGGGACAGAAGCCUGGGAAAAGUGAUCAGGCCUGGAGAUGCACAAGCAAGAUUUUGGAGUUUACACCAAAGUGAGAAUUAAUGAUUAAAUUAUGAACUUGGAGAGAAAAAUGAGAUUCUGAAGUUUGGGAUGGAGGAAAAUGGUAGAAAAGGAUCAGAGAGAGAGCCUGGGAAGAUGACAGUUUUUUUGAAGGCAGAAGUGGCAUCUCUUCUGAAAGAAAAGAUAGGAAUGAAUGAAGAGCUACCUUGCCAUGAAGAUUCAUUACCUUUUCUUUGCUCUUUUCUUCCUUGGCCAGCUGUCUACCUCAGGAACUGAAGAUGCUUAUGAAGUCAUUAGUAUCAUGGACUGUAAAAAUCAAACACUGUGUAAUUCUCAGAAUACAACUAGACACUGCUCUCAUGGGAAGGAGAUUGAACUAUGUGUCUUGCGUCUUGGAAAAAAUGCAAAGCGACUCACUAACCAUGAAGAAACAGCAAAUUAGGAAGACAGGAUGAUCAAUUUCCUUGUCUUAUUAAAAAAUAAAGUCUGCUUUCUUUUCUCUCUC
rnacentral:lncRNA from 1 species